rnacentral:rRNA from 1 species
GAUGAACGCUGGCGGCGUGCCUAAUACAUGCAAGUCGAGCGAACAGACGAGGAGCUUGCUCCUCUGACGUUAGCGGCGGACGGGUGAGUAACACGUGGAUAACCUACCUAUAAGACUGGGAUAACUUCGGGAAACCGGAGCUAAUACCGGAUAAUAUAUUGAACCGCAUGGUUCAAUAGUGAAAGACGGUUUUGCUGUCACUUAUAGAUGGAUCCGCGCCGCAUUAGCUAGUUGGUAAGGUAACGGCUUACCAAGGCAACGAUGCGUAGCCGACCUGAGAGGGUGAUCGGCCACACUGGAACUGAGACACGGUCCAGACUCCUACGGGAGGCAGCAGUAGGGAAUCUGCCGCAAUGGGCGAAAGCCUGACGGAGCAACGCCGCGUGAGUGAUGAAGGUCUUCGGAUCGUAAAGCUCUGUUAUUAGGGAAGAACAAAUUUGUAAGUAACUAUGCACGUCUUGACGGUACCUAAUCAGAAAGCCACGGCUAACUACGUG